UACAGAGGGUGCGAGCGUUAAUCGGAAUUACUGGGCGUAAAGGGUGCGCAGGCGGUUCUGCAAGUCAGGCGUGAAAGCCCCGGGCUUAACCUGGGAAUGGCGCUUGAAACUACAGGACUGGAGUAUGGCAGAGGGAGGUGGAAUUCCACGUGUAGCGGUGAAAUUCGUAGAUAUCGGGAGGAACACCGGUGGCGAAGGCGGCAGCCUGGGUUGACACUGACGCUGAGGCGCGAAAGCGUGGGGAGCAAACAGG
rnacentral:rRNA from 1 species